GGAAGGAUCAUUAACACUAAUCCAAUCGCCUUAAUCUAGCCUUUAGUUGCUGAGUUGAGCUGCUUCGGCAGAUCGCUUAGCAAUACACAAAACUAAACAAAGGAGCCUAACUAAGCUUCCAAAACAAAACCAAAUUUUCAACGAUGGAUAUCUUGGUUCCCAUAACGAUGAAGAACGCAGCGAAGUGCGAUAAGCAGUGCGAAUUGCAGAACCGUGAGUCAUCAGAUUUUUGAACGCAACUGGCGCCGACUGGCUCUCCGGUCGGCAUGCUUGUUUCAGUGUCUUUUUAUCUCAUCCCCAAUAUCUUAAUGCUGGAGAUACCCUUCUCUGGUUAAGUACGAAAGCACACUGACGUCUGCAGGUGAUCUCAGCUUGCUGAGGGUCACACUCAAUGCAGCAGUCACUUUGAUAACAGAGUGAACUCAUUGUGAGUAGACUCAGAGCAGUUUAUCUGCAUAGUGCUUAGACACUCUAAACUUAUCUUGUAUCUGAAAUCAAGCAGGACCACCCGCUGAACUUAAGCAUAUCACUAAGCGGAGGAAAAGAAAUUAACUAAGAUUGCCUCAGUAACGGCGAGUGAAGCGGCAAAAGCCCAAACUGGAAAUCUUUACACUGUGUGUAACGAAUUGUAAUCUAAAGGACGGAAUCUCACCUGGAGGUGGCGCAGAAGUUCCUUAGAACGGGACGCCAAAGAGGGUGACAGCCCCGUAUGUGGUGCCCCCUCCUAACGAGAUCUGUUCCAAGAGUCGGAUUGUUUGGUACUACAGUCCUAAGCUGGAGAUAGACUUCUUCUAAGGCUAAAUAUAUAUGGGAAACCGAUAGCGAACAAGUACUGUGAAGGAAAGAUGAAAAGAACUUUGAAAAGAGAGUCAAAAGACUUGAAAUCGUUGAGAAGGAAGCGGUAGUAAUUUAUUCUUCGGGCGUGAAUGAAGGUGUUUGUCUAACCACUGCGGGUCUCAGUACUUCAACGGCUGUCUCACGCAUCUGGGGAAGCAAUAGCUGGAUUCUAGCUCGUGAAGCAAAAUGAGGUUCCAUAUCCACAAAAGCUUGGUGUCCAGGGAAACCACAGUCACCUGUGCUGGUGGGCAUGGAGCCUGAGGGGCCUUGUGCGAUUUUGCUAAAAUGGUUAUUACCGACCCGUCUUGAAACACGGACCAAGGAGUCUAACAUAUAUGCGAGUGUGCUGGUGGAAAAACCAACACGCGAAAUGAAAGUGAUUGAUGCCAAGCGCAAGCAGCAGCAUCGGCCGACCAUGAUCCUCAGGUGAAAGGUUUGAGUAUGAGCAUAUCUGUUAGGACCCGAAAGAUGGUGAACUAUGCCUGGGUAGGGUGAAGUCAGGGGAAACUCUGAUGGAGGCUCGUAGCGGUUCUGACGUGCAAAUCGAUCGUCAAACUUGGGUAUAGGGGCGAAAGACUAAUCGAACCAUCUAGUAGCUGGUUCCCUC
rnacentral:misc_RNA from 1 species